AGCAGAAUUGCUGGGUCCUAUGGUAACUCUAUGCUUCACUUGUUGAGGAACUGCCAAACUCUUUUCCCUAGUGCCUGCACCAUUUACAUUCCCACCAGCAAU
rnacentral:pre_miRNA from 2 species